rnacentral:rRNA from 1 species
GACAGAGGGUGCAAACGUUGUUCGGAAUUACUGGGCGUAAAGCGCGUGUAGGCGGCUUGGCAAGUCGGAUGUGAAAGCCCUGGGCUCAACCCAGGAAGUGCAUUCGAAACUGCGAAGCUGGAGUCCCGGAGAGGAAAGCGGAAUUCUCGGUGUAGAGGUGAAAUUCGUAGAUAUCGAGAGGAACACCGGUGGCGAAGGCGGCUUUCUGGACGGUGACUGACGCUGAGACGCGAAAGCGUGGGGAGCAAAC